AGCUCCAAUAGCGUAUAUUAAAGUUGUUGCGGUUAAAAAGCUCGUAGUUGGAUUUCUGUCGAAGACGUCCGGUCCGCUCUAUGAGCGUGUAUCUGGUUCGGCUUUGGCAUCCUCGUGGGGAACGCUACUGUGCUUGAUUGCAUGGUGCGGUAUUCACGACUUUUACUUUGAGGAAAUUAGAGUGUUCACGGCAGGCAAGCGCCUUGAAUAUAUUAGCAUGGAAUAAUAAUAUAGGACUUUGGUUCUAUUUUGUUGGUUUCUAGAACUAAAGUAAUGAUUAAUAGGGAUAAUUGGGGGCAUUUGUACUAUGAUGUCAGAGGUGGAAUUCUUGGAUUAUCAUAUGACAAACUACUGCGAAAGCAUUUGCCAAGGAUGUUUUCA
rnacentral:rRNA from 1 species